UUGAACGCUGGCGGCAUGCUUUACACAUGCAAGUCGAACGGCAGCGCGGGCUUCGGCCUGGCGGCGAGUGGCGAACGGGUGAGUAAUACAUCGGAACGUGCCCAGUAGUGGGGGAUAGCUCGGCGAAAGCCGGAUUAAUACCGCAUACGACCUGAGGGUGAAAGCGGGGGAUCUUCGGACCUCGCGCUAUUGGAGCGGCCGAUGGCAGAUUAGCUAGUUGGUGGGGUAAAGGCCUACCAAGGCGACGAUCUGUAGCUGGUCUGAGAGGACGACCAGCCACACGGGGACUGAGACACGGCCCAGACUCCUACGGGAGGCAGCAGUGGGGAAUUUUGGACAAUGGGCGAAAGCCUGAUCCAGCAAUGCCGCGUGUGUGAUGAAGGCCUUCGGGUUGUAAAGCACUUUUGGCGGGAACGAAAAGGACUGUGCCAAUACCACGGUUCGAUGACGGUACCCGCAGAAUAAGCACCGGCUAACUACGUG
rnacentral:rRNA from 1 species